rnacentral:rRNA from 1 species
UCCUGCCCAGUGACAAUAGUUCAACGGCCGCGGUAUCCUAACCGUGCAAAGGUAGCAUAAUCACUUGCCCAUUAAUUGUGGGCUAGAAUGAAUGGACUAACGAAAUAAAGACUGUCUCUAUAAGUAAAAUAAAAAUUAAUCUCUAACUGAAGACUUGUUAGAUAACGUCGAAGGACAAGAAGACCCUAUAGAGCUUUAUUUUAACAAAGAAUUUUUCCGUCUUUAUAAAAUUCGGUUGGGGCGACCAGGGAAUACAAAUCAUCCCUUAAUAUAAGAUAAAUAAAUCUAUAUUCUGACCCUUAAUAAAGAUCAUCAGAACAAGCUACCUUAGGGAUAACAGGCUAAUCCUACUAAAGAGUCCUUAUCAAUAGUAGGGGUUGGCACCUCGAUGUUGGCUUAGGGAAUCUAUGUGGCGCAAAAGUCACAUAAAGAUGGUUUGUUCAACCAAUAACACCCUACAUGAGCUGAGUUCAGACCGGCGUAAGCCAGGUUAGCUUCUAUCCUCGAUAACUCCAUCUAUUUAUAGUACGAAAGGACCUAAAUAAGAGUAAUAAUUACUUAAUAACGACUUCGUAUAAGAUAAAUUAAAUUUCCAAAUACAAAAACUAUAUAGUGAGUUGGCAGAAUAGUGCCACCGACUUAGAAUCGGUUCAUGAGUGAUAAGCUCACUCACUAUUAUAUGCAGCUUAGUUUAUUUAGAACAGUCAACUUGCACUUGACAAGAGAGUAAUCUCAGUAGCGGCUUGACGUUUUGGAAACACUGGACCUUGAACGUCCACUUAAGAUGUUCAACUCAUC